GGAAAGGUGGCCGAGUGGUUGAAGGCGACAGUCUCGAAAACUGUUUUAGCGUUCCGCUAACGAGGGUUCGAAUCCCUCCCUUUCCGCCA
rnacentral:tRNA from 1 species